rnacentral:tRNA from 1 species
AACACUGCGCCGGUAUGAACGGAUUAUAUUGAUGUUAUAAAUUAUAAGGGUAUCCUUCUGUGUUU